ensembl:lncRNA
CUUCAUGUUAAUGUCUAUUAUUUACUCAUGUCGUAUGUCUAGUCUAAAUACAUAGAAAAAACUAAAUAUAUUUUUGUCAGUAAUUAACUUUAACCUGCUUUAGUGGACAUCUCCUAUUUGACCCCCUGACUUGAUAACGCUAUAUUUACACUUUGUAUUAUUGAUGAUGCUGCAGCUAGAGCAUCUAAAGCUACAGGUCCUGGUUGUGCGACCUCUGCUGCACCUCCUCCCAUCGCUGCAGCACCUCCUCCCACCACUCCUGCGCCAAUGGCUAUCUUGUCUAAAUCAACAGCCAAAUUCUUUCCCGUUUCCAUCCACUCCUCCAAUUUAAUCUUUCUGAAGCCACCGCCCCCCCCCCCGCAUCAUUACCAGGCACACCUGUUUCUUGUUAUGUUAUUAGGGUAGGGGUAUAUCUGUCUGUCAGGUUGGGGUUUUGUGGGUUAUUGUUUGUCGUCAAUGUUCCGUGUAUGUUCAGGACUACGUUGUGCCAGUACAGUACAGUACAUUGCCUUGCCAACUAGUCCGGCAUUAUGGGCCUUCUUGGUUCUAGCAGGGAUCUCUGUUUGCUCGGCUAUUUUGUGUUUUUGCCUGCUUGGCCAUUCUGAGCUUGCUAGAACUACAUAAUAAAAAGAAAGCAGGCUACCCUCCUGCGUUUGACCUCUGUCUUUCUACGACGGACCGUGACAUUAUCAGAUAUUAAAUAGUUUUAAUGUGUUUCCUGGCUGCAGACUAAGCAUGGAGAAUUUGUGUAAGUAUGUAAAAGGUCCCCCCCACAAACAUUUUUGCCAGAUACCAGAAUUAUCUUGAAGCCUUUUACACCCCAACUAAGAUUUUAGGAAAACCUUUUUCAGAGUAGGGUUAGGGUCAGGGGUUCCAAAGUAGAACUCGCCAGUCGCCCAAUGUGGGGAUAUGUUGUUAAUAAUUUUGAUAAUAAGGAAAUUUCGACACAAUAAAGGUGUUCCAAGAACAUGGCUGGACUUUAAGGAGGGGGUGAUGGUUUGCAGUGUGUGUCGUGUCAACAAAAAGGAAAAGCGCAGAGGCAGUUCCUUUAUUGUUGGCACUACAGCCAUGAAACUGGGGAAUAUACCAUUUCACGAGAGCUCACAAUGUCACCGUGGUUACACGUCAGUCACCAGGGCACAGUCUCUGCCCCUCCAGGCUACCCCAUCAGUAAAGCCCCUCACAAAACUUUCUGAUGCUACCGCUAAGAAGAUGACCAUCAUUUUCUAAACCGCACACGCCAUUUCAUGUCUUGAGAAUCAUGACAAAGGGUCAAAUCUACUACUGAGUUUAAGACUUUUAAGUUAGGAUAGACAAACCAUGUAAAAA